CAAUCGACGUCGGGAGAACCAACCCAGUUGGUGCCGAAGGAGCAACCGCCCCGGAAACUCUCAGGCCACAGGACCGACGUAGGUAA
rnacentral:ncRNA from 2 species